CCUACGGGUGGCUGCAGUGAGGAAUAUUGGUCAAUGGCCGAGAGGCUGAACCAGCCAAGUCGCGUGAGGGAAGACGGUGCCAUGCAUUGUAAACCUCUUUUGCCGGGGGACAAAAACCGGUACGAGUGCCUCACCGCGAGUACCCGUAGAAAAAGCAUCGGCUAACUCCGUGCCAGCAGCCGCGGUAAUACGGAGGAUGCGAGCGUUAUCCGGAUUUAUUGGGUUUAAAGGGUGCGUAGGCGGCCGGUUAAGUCAGCGGUAAAAGCUCGGGGCUCAACCCCGCCGAGCCGUUGAAACUGGCUGGCUAGAGAGGGCGAGAGGUAUGCGGAAUGCGGGGUGUAGCGGUGAAAUGCAUAGAUAUUGCGCAGAACUCCGAUUGCGAAGGCAGCAUACCGGCGGCCAACUGACGCUGAGGCACGAAAGCGUGGGUAUCGAACAGGAUUAGAUACCCUAGUAGUC
rnacentral:rRNA from 1 species